GCUCCGUUGGCCUAGUGGUUAGAUCGUCCCCCUCAGAUAGGAGAGGUCGCGGGUUCGAUCCCCGGUUGAGUCA